UUCCGGUUGAUCCUGCCGGAGGCCAUUGCUAUCGGAGUCCGAUUUAGCCAUGCUAGUUGCACGGGUUUAGACCCGUGGCGAAUAGCUCAGUAACACGUGGCCAAACUACCCUGUAGACCACAAUAACCUCGGGAAACUGAGGCUAAUGGUGGAUACGACUCUCACGCUGGAGUUGCAGAGAGUCGGAAACGUUCCGGCGCUACAGGAUGUGGCUGCGGCCGAUUAGGUAGACGGUGGGGUAACGGCCCACCGUGCCGGUAAUCGGUAUGGGUUGUGAGAGCAAGAGCCCAGAGACGGAAUCUGAGACAAGAUUCCGGGCCCUACGGGGCGCAGCAGGCGCGAAACCUUUACACUGCACGCACGUGCGAUAAGGGGACUCCGAGUGCGAGGGCAUAUCGUCCUCGCUUUCGUGUACCGUAGGGUGGUACACCAACAAGAGCUGGGCAAGACCGGUGCCAGCCGCCGCG
rnacentral:rRNA from 1 species